GGCGUCCUCCCUUGUGUAGUUUUAGUAUAAACGUAUAUGAUUUUUUUUUUAAAUAAAUAAUUAUUACACGCCGGGAGCAAGCCCCUGUGCACAAGGAUAAGCAAAUGCGAAAAUUUGUUUGGGCACACCUGCCUGGUACCCCAAAAGGGCUUUUUCUGGCCUGUGGCUGUGGGGGAGGAGCCUGGGAGCUUUUAUAGUUAAAGCGAUGAUGCACUCACCAAAGAAAAAGAGUUCAUUGCGGCAGAGAUGGUCCAAGGAGGAGGAAGGAGAAUUGCUGUCCUUAUUCAGCAGGUGUUUUACAGAGGACAGAAAUAGAAGAGCAGAUGAAAAGAAGCAAAAGGAAAGAUGGUUUAAUUCACAAAAGACUUAGAGACAACAUCAAAAAGAAAGUUUCGGGAAUGCUUGUUAAAAAGCGUAAAGAAAAUUUCAAAUUAAUUUGCAGUUAAUAAGUAUGAAAAAGUUUUGAAGAGGAGUAGACAAGUCAAGAUGAAAUCUACCAUUAUAUGGUAGAGUUCAGAGGUGUAUCAUUGUAUAAAGUUAAUGAAAAUGAUAAAAGCGUUAACCAAUUUUUUCUUAUUUUGAUCACUGAAAAAGAUUCAGUGAAAAUGAGUUUUUGUAUUAUGUGCAUUGUUCUGCUUAGUAUAUCAUUUUUUAAGCUGAACACUUUUCAUAAAUAGGCACCAUAAGACAGGUAUAUAAACCCUUUGAUUUCCUUACACCAAUUUGUACACUUCAUGACUUGAAAGUCAUGGUCAACAUGUAGUAUUUCUUGUGUGGCCUUAGAUUUUUUGCAUUUAUUCUUUGUUUUUAUGUGCAUUUUCUGUUUGUAAAUAAUGUAUUGACUUAUAAUUUUCAUGAUAAUUUUCUCCUGUUUUGGAAAAAAAUUCCUAAAAUUUGAUAAUUUCAUAGGUUUAAGCUCUAUGUUGAGCAAACUUGCAUGGAUGAUACAUUUAAGGAUGCACAUAAAUGGACUUGCUUUGAAUGCUGAAUCCAGAUUUUCCAGAUAAUGGACCAGGCUAAAGUAACGGGUGCAGUCUAUUACCAAAAAACUAUAAGGCCUAUCUUAACCAAACUCGCUCAAAUGAUGCAUCAAGGGAUAAAAAUUUUCAAACUUGCUUCAGGUCCUGGAUUUGAAUUACAUUUUGACUAGUUUCAAGUAUUUGGAUGUCUAUUCUCAAGUUACUGCAAACCUUAUCACAUCAAAAUUGCAUAAAUUUUGUAAUUUGGUAUGUAAACUUCUAGAUUAUUAGUGGGACCUUGUCUUACUUAAAGACAAUAUUUUUUUAAGUUUGAGCUCUGUAAUCUCUGAUUACUUAUGUUUAUGAAAAGUGUUCAGCUUUAAGACAAAAGUAUCUUUUAUGAACAUUGCAUUCUGCAUGGUGAAUUUCUAUACAUUGACAGUCAUAGUUUUUGUCUUUUUUAAUUGGCAAUCUCAUUUUAAAAUAAAUGUCAGUGAUAUAAAUAACUGAU